rnacentral:rRNA from 1 species
GUGCCAGCAGCCGCGGUAAUACAGAGGUGGCUAGCGUUGUUCGGAAUUACUGGGCGUAAAGGGAGCGCAGGCGGCUAAACAAGUCUGGAGUGCAAGCCCGGGGCUCAACCCCGGAAUUGCUUUGGAUACUGUUUGGCUUGAGUACGUCAGAGGUGAGCGGAAUUCCAGGUGUAGCGGUGAAAUGCGUAGAUAUCUGGAGGAACAUCCGUGGCGAAAGCGGCUCACUGGGACGACACUGACGCUGAGGCUCGAAAGCGUGGGGAGCGAACGGGAUUAGAUACCCCUGUAGUCC